rnacentral:rRNA from 1 species
CCUACGGGAGGCAGCAGUGAGGAAUAUUGGUCAAUGGGCGCGAGCCUGAACCAGCCAAGUAGCGUGAAGGAUGACUGCCCUACGGGUUGUAAACUUCUUUUAUAAAGGAAUAAAGUUAUCCACGUGUGCCUUUUUGCAUGUACCCUAUGAAUAAGCAUCGGCUAACUCCGUGCCAGCAGCCGCGGUAAUACGGAGGAUGCGAGCGUUAUCCGGAUUUAUUGGGUUUAAAGGGUGCGUAGGUGGGUUGUUAAGUCAGUUGUGAAAGUUUGUGGCUCAACCGUAAAAUUGCAGUUGAAACUGGCAGACUUGAGUGCGGUUGAGGUAGGCGGAAUGCGUGGUGUAGCGGUGAAAUGCUUAGAUAUCACGAAGAACUCCGAUUGCGAAGGCAGCUUACUAAGC